GUUAGAAUUAUUUUGUGCAAAUUAAUUAUAAAUUUGUGUCCGAUAAAUUCCAGAUUCAGUUUUAGCUACUGUUCUACUGUUUUAUGAAGAGUUGCAACAGUUAAUGGAACAGUAAUAAAAAGACACAAAUUUUAAAGUGGUUCGGAUACAAUUGUACCCUACAUCCACGGGGACCUGCAAAUGAAAUUCACUAAUUUUUAGUUUUACGAAUACAGUAAUAGGACUUAAUCGAAAAUGCAAAGACUCCCUCUUUGUCGACGCCGUUCUUGUAU
rnacentral:lncRNA from 1 species